rnacentral:sRNA from 1 species
GGAAGGGGUUGGAGCGAGGGUCCGGAGAAGCAUUGGCCGACCCGAGUUAAAAAAUCUGGAUCCGUUUUUACUGUUUGAUGAAUUUGAAGGAGGUAGACCAGGAGGAUUUCCUGAUCAUCCACAUCGAGGUUUUGAAACAGUAUCCUACCUCCUGGAAGGGGGCAGCAUGGCCCAUGAAGACUUCUGUGGACACACUGGUAAAAUGAACCCAGGAGAUUUGCAGUGGAUGACUGCGGGCCGGGGCAUUCUGCACGCUGAGAUGCCUUGCUCAGAGGAGCCAGCCCAUGGCCUACAACUGUGGGUUAAUUUGAGGAGCUCAGAGAAGAUGGUGGAACCUCAGUACCAGGAACUGAAAAGUGAAGAAAUCCCUAAACCCAGUAAGGAUGGUGUGACAGUUGCUGUCAUUUCUGGAGAAGCCCUGGGAAUAAAGAGUCUCGCUCUGCUGCCCAGGCUGGAGUGCAGUGGCAGGAUCUCGGCUCACUGCAAGCUCCGCCUCCCAGGUUCACGCCCUUCUACCGCCUCAGCCUCCCGAGUAGCUGGGACUACAGGCGACCACCGCCACGCCCGGCUAAUUUUUUGUAUUUUUAAUAGAGACGGGGUUUCACAGUGUUAGCCAGGAUGAUCUCGAUCUCCUGAUCUCGUGAUCCACCCGCCUUGGCCUCUCAAAGUGCUGGGAUUACAGGCGUGAGCCACUGCACCCGGCCUCAUUAUAGAUUAUUUUAAAUAGAAUAAUAUACAUUCAGUUUUGAAGGCUUUGAGGUAGUUCAUUAUUCAAGACAUAUGUUAUACUGACACCCUCAAUGAUCCAGUUCCCAAUAUGAAAAGAAUACUAGAAUUGGAAUUCUGUUUUAGGUUAAAGAUGUUGUGAAAAACAUCUGCAAAAUGAAUUAAAAAUUUCCUCUUA